UUUACAGUUUAAAAGCAUGAUGAUAUCUGGUUUAUCAAUUUUAUAGUUUGAAUGAAUGAAUUGCUUCCUUACGUGACUACUGUUUGAUUGAAAAAUUGACAUAUGAUUGCAUUCCCUAAUGCAUGUUUGUUUGCUUAUGUGAUCAUGGUUGAUUUUGAAAAUUGAGACUAAAGGAAAACACUAAAGUUGUGUGAUUAAAU
rnacentral:lncRNA from 1 species